GUCUCUGAUGAUGGUGCUGCUAUGCUCACUUUUGAAGCACUAUCUGAGACAUCUGAAUUUGCAAGAAAGUGGGUCCCUUUCUGCAAGAAGUUCAAAAUUGAACCUCGGGCUCCAGAAUGGUACUUUGCCCAGAAGGUUGACUAUUUGAAAGAUAAAGUAGAUCAUACAUUUGUUAGGGAACGCCGUGCCAUGAAGAGAGAAUAUGAAGAGUUCAAAGUUCGAAUAAAUGGAUUGGUUGCCAUGGCACAGAAGGUUCCUGAGGAUGGUUGGACAAUGCAGGAUGGGACCCCAUGGCCAGGGAAUAAUGUCAAGGAUCAUCCUGGAAUGAUACAGGUUUUCUUGGGCCAUAAUGGUGUUCAUGAUAUUGAAGGAAAUGAAUUGCCUCGUCUAGUUUAUGUGUCUCGUGAGAAGAGAGCAGGAUUUGAGCACCACAAAAAAGCUGGGGCAAUGAAUGCUUUGGUGAGGGUAUCUGCAAUCAUAACAAAUGCUCCAUAUCUACUGAAUGUUGACUGUGAUCACUAUAUAAACAACAGUAAGGCACUUCGUGAAGCCAUGUGCUUCAUGAUGGAUCCAAUAUCAGGAAAGAAAGUCUGUUAUGUACAAUUUCCUCAAAGGUUUGAUGGGAUUGAUCGUCAUGAUAGAUACUCCAAUCGCAAUGUUGUGUUCUUUGAUAUCAACAUGAAAGGAUUGGAUGGAAUCCAAGGACCUAUAUAUGUUGGUACUGGAUGUGUCUUCAGGAGACAAGCACUUUAUGGAUAUGAUGCUCCCAUCAAGAAGAAGCCACCAGGGAAGACAUGUAAUUGCUUGCCAAAAUGGUUGUGCUGCUGCUGCACAUCUAGAAAGAAGAAUAAGAAAGCAAAAUCAAAUGGGAAAAAGAAGAAGAACAACAAGGAGGCUUCCAAGCAGAUACAUGCAUUGGAAAAUAUUGAGGAGAGUAUUGAAGGAAUAGAUAAUGACAAAUCAGAGUCAAUGUCCCAAAAAAAAUUUGAGAAAAAAUUUGGUCAGUCACCAGUUUUUAUAGCUUCAACACUCAUGGAAGAGGGUGGACUUCCAAAAGAAGCAACUUCUGCAUCACUUUUGAAAGAAGCCAUUCAUGUCAUCAGCUGUGGUUAUGAAGACAAAACUGAAUGGGGGAAAGAGGUUGGGUGGAUAUAUGGCUCUGUUACUGAGGACAUAUUGACUGGCUUCAAGAUGCAUUGCCAUGGCUGGCGUUCAGUUUAUUGCAUACCAAGAAGGCCAGCAUUUAAGGGGUCAGCUCCAAUAAACCUUUCAGAUCGUCUACACCAGGUUCUACGGUGGGCACUAGGAUCUGUUGAGAUUCUGUUGAGUAGGCAUUGUCCGAUAUGGUAUGGGUAUGGGUGCGGCUUGAAACCGUUGGAGCGGUUUUCAUACAUAAAUUCAGUUGUUUAUCCGUUGACAUCAAUUCCCUUGGUCGCCUACUGUACAUUGCCAGCUAUUUGCCUCCUUACAGGGAAAUUCAUCGUCCCCGAGAUCAGUAACUAUGCAAGUCUCAUUUUCAUGGGCCUCUUCAUAUCCAUAGCAGCAACUAGUGUCCUUGAAAUGCAAUGGGGAGGAGUUGGCAUACACGACUGGUGGAGAAAUGAGCAGUUUUGGGUGAUUGGUGGCACCUCAUCCCACCUAUUUGCUUUAUUCCAGGGUCUGCUCAAGGUAUUGGCAGGUGUUAACACUAAUUUCACUGUUACUUCCAAAGCAGGAGAUGACGGAGAAUUUUCAGAGCUCUACCUAUUUAAAUGGACAUCUUUGUUGAUCCCUCCCAUGACCUUACUCAUCAUAAACAUUAUUGGAAUCAUAGUUGGAGUUGCAGAUGCCAUCAAUAAUGGUUAUGAUUCAUGGGGUCCACUAUUUGGUAAGCUAUUCUUUGCAGUCUGGGUCAUUGUCCAUCUUUACCCAUUCCUCAAGGGUUUGAUGGCCAAACAAGACAGGCUUCCCACCAUAAUUGUUGUGUGGUCAAUACUUGUAGCUUCAGUUUUCUCACUGGUGUGGGUACGAAUCAAUCCAUUUGUGUCAAGAGGUGGUAUUGUGUUAGAAGUUUGUGGGUUGGAUUGUGAUUAAGCCAUUAAAUCACAUUACAUGGAAUGUUAGAUUUUGGUUAAACGUAGAAAAGAUCAUUUUAGAAAAUGCAUAAGAAGCUACAUUCUUCAUCGAAGAUGAAAAACAUCUGGUGAGAAGGCACGAUUCUUCUCCAUAAGUUCUAGAGGAAAUGAAUAUCCUGGUGGGUGGGUGUGUAGAUAUAAGGGACUUAAGACAUAUUUUCUCCUGUUUUGCCUAGUUUCUGAAGAUUCUUUUGAUACAUGCGGAGUUCUUGAUUAUUAGACCUGUCUGUAAUAUGAGAGAACAUGCUUUAUUUAAUUUAUGCAUUCCCUUCUGAAUGAAGGCCGAAAUACAAAAUUGCCUUUCAUUAUGAGAACUAUCCAUCAUUUUGUUUUCUUCUUCUUAUUUGCUCUGAUUUAUGCUCUGCAGGAUUACUAUCUAAAAUGUGUUGAAAAUGGUGCAAUCUUCCUCUGCAAAGAGCUUAUGUACUGAUUUCAACAAUCAACAUUUUUUUAUACUUCAACCACUAAAAUAAUGCCAAGAGAUGAAUAACGAAGAACUAAGUACCGAGUAAUGCAUAACUCUAAUAGAGGAUACUCGCCCUAACAACAUCUGAGAAUACUCGGAUCGAUUGCGAGAUAUUCGCCAAAGGUCAGAUUUUCAUCUACAUGAGAUUCCCACGUGAAAAGAACUCUUGAUCCUGCUUAACUACAAACUCCUCCUGAAUUACAUCAAAAGUCCAACAUCCUAGACCCAAGAAGAAGAGAACAACAUCAAUUUUUUUUGGUGCAAUAACAAUCAACAUCGACCAUUUAGUUUUAACUUGCCCUUUAUUUGGAUGGGAGGGAAUAGUGAGAGAGA
rnacentral:misc_RNA from 1 species